UAAAGGUUUCCUUUAGGUGAUCCAGACAGGCUGGACCAGUGGGUGCUGAACAUCCGGAGGAAUAAAUGGACCCCCAACGUUUCUUCUCGCCUGUGCAGUGAACACUUUGAGAGUCAUCACUUCAGCACGGACUCAUGGGGAAGGAGAUGCCUGAAAAACACUGCAGUGCCCACCAUUUUCUAUCUCACCAAUGGCAAAGAACAACAGCCUAGAAGGAAAAGCAGGGUGAGGAACAAUGACAAGGACGCUUGAGGGAAGUUGCAACGCCUCGGCCAAUGUGAUGUCUUCUCCACGUGAAAGAGAUUGAAGGCAUAACUUAUAACUUGAGACAAUUUUCCAAAAGUUAUGACUUUUAUUUGCUUAGGUAGUAAUGGAUUACAUCUAACACGAAUCAAGAUCGUAUAGAAAAAAAGGAAAGUGUAAUCCUUAGUGACAUAGGAAAAGAUGUAAUCGGAUUAGUUUUACUUUUUUUAAUAAUAGGGAAACUCAGGAUUACAAUCUUAUUCAAAACCUAAAAAGAGCAUAUAGUGUUUGUUUUAAAAUGAUCAUAUUGUAUCUCUUCUCUGGAAGCGGUACUGUUCUGUAGGAUAAUACUUUAAUUGUGAAUAUAUACACCUACUGCCUGAAUCUGCUUUAUGGUAUUAUAUUAUACAUUUAAGUAAAACAAAUCAUAUUAAUAUUUCUUCUCUCCUGUGUUUAUUUGCAUUGCAUUUGAUAUUGAGGUAAUCCAAAAGACAAAUAAAGUUAUCAGGUUACAUUACUUUUAUAUCUUGAUACUCACAUUAAGUUACUGGUUGCGUUUUUGGCAAGUAGCCCUCCCAACC